rnacentral:ncRNA from 5 species
AACGACUCUCGGCAACGGAUAUCUC